AAGUCGAACGAAGCACUUUAUUUGAUUUCCUUCGGGACUGAUUAUUUUGUGACUGAGUGGCGGACGGGUGAGUAACGCGUGGGUAACCUGCCUUGUACAGGGGGAUAACAGUUGGAAACGGCUGCUAAUACCGCAUAAGCGCACGGCAUCGCAUGAUGCAGUGUGAAAAACUCCGGUGGUAUAAGAUGGACCCGCGUUGGAUUAGCUAGUUGGUGAGGUAACGGCCCACCAAGGCGACGAUCCAUAGCCGACCUGAGAGGGUGACCGGCCACAUUGGGACUGAGACACGGCCCAAACUCCUACGGGAGGCAGCAGUGGGGAAUAUUGCACAAUGGGCGAAAGCCUGAUGCAGCGACGCCGCGUGAGCGAAGAAGUAUUUCGGUAUGUAAAGCUCUAUCAGCAGGGAAGAUAAUGACGGUACCUGACUAAGAAGCACCGGCUAAAUACGUGCCAGCAGCCGCGGUAAUACGUAUGGUGCAAGCGUUAUCCGGAUUUACUGGGUGUAAAGGGAGCGCAGGCGGUGCGGCAAGUCUGAUGUGAAAGCCCGGGGCUCAACCCCGGUACUGCAUUGGAAACUGUCGUACUAGAGUGUCGGAGGGGUAAGCGGAAUUCCUAGUGUAGCGGUGAAAUGCGUAGAUAUUAGGAGGAACACCAGUGGCGAAGG
rnacentral:rRNA from 1 species